AGUACAGGAAAUAUUUGCCCAUUUUUUAUCCCACACCUCCAUCGAAUUGAUGGUGCUGAAGAAAUUUCCAUUUUUACUGCCGCAUCUUCCACCACCUCUGUUGCUGCUGUUAUCGCUGCUUCCACAUUAAUGGUUGAUUAAGUCUUGAAAUGGUAACCUCCUGGCCCUUUAUUUUGAUUAAGUCUUGAAAUGGUAACCUCCUGGCCCUUUAUUUUUAGUUGUUUCCAGUUUAGGGUUUUGAUUAUUUGAAUUCUUCGAUUAAGGCUUGAAUUAGGGUUUUGGUUCUUCCCACCCACCUUGAUAGUAUCUCCAUUGUCGUCCAAUACCCAGAGACUUACUCGCAGAUCACUCAUCCAUGUAAUUUGCUCUGUAAUUGCUAAUAUUACCACUAAUACUUCAAUACCCACUUCCACUACUUUGAUUUUGCUCACUCCUUUUCUUCCUCUUGUAGUUUGUUCUCUACCUUAGUGAGUUUCUCUUUUUCUUUGCCAAAAGUUAAGGCUUGCUGUUGCAAGCUCACAAUUUUUCUCCAGAUUUUAAGAAUCAUUUAAAACUCUGUUCUCCAUAUCAUGCUUGUGACUGUAGGAGUUGAACUAUUUAAGUAGGUUGCUAAUUUGUUUUCGUCCCUAAGUCUUUGGUCAUAUUUUUGAGAAUCUAUAGAUGUUCUUUGGUGUUUAAAUACUGACAUAGAUAAAUUAUCAAUAAAUUAUUUGUUCUAAUGUUGGUUAUUCUAGAUAGAAAGAAUCCUUUUGUUGCUACUGUUCAAGGAUUUGCCAGUGGUAGGUUCUUAGAAUAGGGUAUGGUUUGUUAUUUUCGUAAAUUGUACUGCUCAACUUCAUGGUUUUACACUAUUGUAGCCUUCAGUUUUUAAGCUGACAUGUUUAUAUCAUUGGUUUAUUCUAGUGGUGCAGUGCUCGAAUUGCAUCAUGUAGAGCUGAACUAGGUCUACCUGAACUGAAGGUUGGAAUUAUUUAGUUGUGGAGGUAAAAAUGUCUUGCUUCUUUAGAUUGUUGUUGCUUGUCCGAGAUCUUGCUUUAUCCCCAAUUCUUACAUAACAAAUUCAAUGGGUCGAAGCCGAUUUAGUUAUGUUGAAAUUGGCAAAAAAGAUAGCCCAUUCUUACAUAGCUUCUUCCAGUAAUAUUUAUUAAUGUUUGAACUGAUUGACAUUUUUUCGUAGUUAAAAGAUUAUCUAAAUGCAAGAAGAAUCGGGUGUUGUAUUCUUUUCCUUUCCACCUAUAUUUGUACUUAAAACUAGUUAUUACCAUGUGACAAUCAUUCAAGAUCAAUACUUCUGAUGAAGGAAGGAGUUGGGUAUUAUCUAUGAUGUGGUAUCUUCUUAAGACCUCUUAGUAAUUUCUUCUAUCCAGGCAUUACAUAUCGCAAAAGGACGUAAAGCUCGUACUAAUAGACUUCAAAGGAUAGAUAAGAUUGAACCUAUACAUGAGUCAUCUGCUAUCCUAGAAACUACUAGACAACAUGUUUUGAAGACUUCUCCAGGCAUGCACAUUAUACAUAUACAGCCUGCCUCGAUGUUAUUGAAGAGAGCAUUUCUGGAGGAUAUACUGGAGUUUUGAAGGAGGACAAGGUUUUCAGAGAAUUAUUAAUCUCAAAAUUGGCUAGGGGUCUGCUCCAUAUGGAUUUUGAUGAACGUACAACAUCAAAGGAAAGUCUUGGUGAUUUGUUGGAAAUGGUGGCCAAACGACAAUUUGAUCUAAUGGAACGUAAUCAUCAAGACUUUGGACAAUUACGAUUUUUGUUAUUCCUGAUACUAUAAUAAUACAUUUGCUUUUUAUAAAGUUAAUUAAUUGCUAGGAUGCCCCUUGAGACAGUUUUCUUUAUUCAUUGAUGUAUUACACGAGGUUUACUCCUUGUUUGAAGUUCAUUGCAAGUUUAUGCAUUUGAAUUAUUCUUUUAUUA